rnacentral:misc_RNA from 1 species
AGCAAGAUCAUCAGACUUGGU